AUGCAUGGUGGGUUGACCUGUUUACGGUUUUAUGUUGUUUUACAGAAAAUGGCGAAAUAUACUUUGCCAACAAAGUUUCCCGCACUAAACGUUGAUGUGGUCGAGAGCGUCCGACAGACGCUCCAGUUGUCUUCUUAUGCUGUCAUAGAUCCAACUGUGACAAGGGAAAGUCUGUACAGUACAGUGCUUAAUUCCCAUGGAUUUGCUUUGGAAGCAAUAAUACGGGAAGUGAGGCGGAGCUGCUCUUUCUCAGCGAUGGUCAAUGGGGGAUCCUCAGGGUGAGGUGGAGGUUGUGGUUAACCAGGAGGUAGAGGAUUAUAGUUUUUAUAUAAUAAAAGGUUUUUCACAUGGGUUGUGUGUGUUGUGGUUAUUUGCUGUGUAUUUGGUGGUCAUGUUAAGGUGUACAGUGCAUACGGAAAGUAUUCACAGCGCUUCACUUUUUCAACAUUUCAUUAUGUU
rnacentral:lncRNA from 15 species